rnacentral:lncRNA from 1 species
CACUCUUAAGUGGCUUUCAUACUUAGUUGCUGUUCUCUUAGGCUUAACUCCCGUUUAUCUGUAUAAGUUGUAUAAGUAAGGGAUUAACCAGGUGUUGGAUGAGAAGCAGCCUAGGUGAGAUCCAUUUGAUCUGUUAGCUGCUAAUGGAUUCUAUCGUCAUUUCGACAGUGAAAUAAAUCUUCCGAAAGACAGCAAAGACAGUAGUAAGCCCUGGUAAGGAAGAAGAUUCG